GACGAACGCUGGCGGCGUGCUUAACACAUGCAAGUCGAACGCUGAAGCACCAGCUUGCUGGUGUGGAUGAGUGGCGAACGGGUGAGUAAUACGUGAGUAACCUGCCCUUGACUCUGGGAUAAGCCCGGGAAACUGGGUCUAAUACUGGAUGCUACAUGUCACCGCAUGGUGGUGUGUGGAAAGGGUUUACUGGUCUUGGAUGGGCUCACGGCCUAUCAGCUUGUUGGUGAGGUAAUGGCUCACCAAGGCGACGACGGGUAGCCGGCCGGGGAGGGUGACCGGCCACACUGGGACUGAGACACGGCCCAGACUCCUACGGGAGGCAGCAGUGGGGAAUAUUGCACAAUGGGCGAAAGCCUGAUGCAGCGACGCCGCGUGAGGGAUGACGGCCUUCGGGUUGUAAACCUCUUUCAGCAGGGAAGAAGCCACAAGUGACGGUACCUGCAGAAGAAGCGCCGGCUAACUACGUG
rnacentral:rRNA from 1 species